CUCAAAUCCUCAAAUUGAUACUCUGGUUCGUCGGGUUUCUCUCGUCUCGAGAGCCGGCAAGAUUAGUUUUUUAGGUUCUCAAUCAACUUGGCAUCAAACUCCAAAGCACGCGGGUGGCCCGAAAGUACCCCCUCGCGAGUCGCGAGUGUUCUUGAUGUAUGUGGCAUCAACUAUUGCGAUUUUUCGAAUUUGAUCGAGCUUUUCAAUCCCAAAACUCAGUUAUACUC